GAUUUACUCCCUCCGUUCCAAAAUAGAUGACCCAACUUUGCACUAACUUUGUACAAAGUUAGUGCAAAGUUGGGUCAUCUAUUUUGGAACGGAGGGAGUACAAU
rfam:Triticum aestivum genome assembly, contig: Triticum_aestivum_CS42_TGACv1_scaffold_003990_1AL